rnacentral:rRNA from 1 species
GAUGAACGCUAGCGACAGGCUUAACACAUGCAAGUCGAGGGGCAGCGAGAAAGUGCUUGCACUUUUGUCGGCGACCGGCGCACGGGUGAGUAACACGUAUGCAACCUGCCCUUGUCAGGGGGAUAAGCGAGGGAAACCUCGUCUAAUACCGCAUAUAUGAUUUAGAGGCAUCUCAUAAUCAGGAAAGAAUUAUCGGACAAGGAUGGGCAUGCGGGACAUUAGGUAGUUGGGGGUGUAACGGACCACCAAGCCGACGAUGUCUAGGGGUUCUGAGAGGAAGGUCCCCCACACUGGUACUGAGACACGGACCAGACUCCUACGGGAGGCAGCAGUGAGGAAUAUUGGUCAAUGGGCGAGAGCCUGAACCAGCCAAGUCGCGUGAGGGAAGACGGUACUAAGUAUUGUAAACCUCUUUUGUCAGGGAACAAAGAGACCACGUGUGGUAAGAUGAGUGUAACCUGAAGAAAAAAGCAUCGGCUAACUCCGUGCCAGCAGCCGACGG